AAGUUUCGUGAAUUCACAACCCCAUCGAUCCGGCAGCAGCUCACCUAUAAGAAUUUUCGAUCGCUUCCGGCCUCCGUGCGCCAAACGUUACGAUGUUCCAGCACGCCGCCGUUCUCUCCUGUGUGCGGAGACGACUAUUGUGUGUUCGUGAAAAUUACGUCUAGCAACAUUCUGUUCUCGGGUAUAGUGUGGUGAACUUUUAUACCACUCUAGUAGAGUGUGUGUGAGUGAGAAAUGGACUUGGAACGAGGAGGGGGGGAGAAGGAGGGUGGAGUAGGGAAUAUCAGAGAAAAGGCGGAUGAAAAGAGAGAAAGAAAAAAGGUUGGAAUUAAAAGAAAAAUAAACAAAGCGAUCCUAUUUGCUGGUGAAAUUAUUACAAGUUAUGAAAAAUGCGAUUGUAGGAAAGUUUCGCAAGAAAAUCAAAUUAUUUUCAACGUCCGCGCGCAACGUGAAUGAUGACUACAAGGAGAGACGAGAUCAAUUAGCAUAUUUACAUAUUCCGUGCUUUACAUACCGAGCUGAACUGCUGGAUUGGAAGCUGAUGACGUCAGCAGGAUCGACAUCAUCCCUAGAAAACCUUUUGAAUGUUUUUUAAAAAAGAUAUUAACUUACGAAAAAGAAAUAUUAUGGGUUUUUAAUUCUUGAGUUUUAUUGAUGUAGUAUACCGCACUGUCGAAUCACAUAGCCAAAACACACGUGUGGGAGUAGGAGAGAGAAAAAACGGUUGACAAAAAUGAAUUUUUGAUCCGACGUCAAUUGUUUUCUUUCUUUCCUUCGUUUCAGUGUCUCACUACUUUUCCAUUGAAGCGGAUUAGCUUCUUU